AUUCAUAUGAAAACUACACCCUCUAAAGUUAUUAACCCUUAUUAUGAACUUAUUAGUAAUUUAAUAAUGCAAGGUAGAACUAGAUGCUUACAACCUAUAAGUAUAGAACCUUCUCAAAUUAUUAUCCCUGAUUCAGUUAGUCAACAAAAUUGGCUUUUUCAACAUAGUAAUGAAUGGGGUCUUGCUCUUGCAGGAUUUUCAGGUACCUUGGAAUGCCAUUACCCUGCUGAUAAAUUGAUCCAAUUCAGCAAACUUAACUCAUAUCUUUCCUUCUAUAAUUAGGCAACAGCCUGUCCCUCAUGUACCUUUGGUUUUUACGGACGGUUCUUCUUCAGGAGUGGCUACUGUAAUCAUUGACGACGGAACGAACCUCGUUAAAGAAACUUCCUUGACUUCAGCUCAACGUGUUGAACUCUUAUUCGUUCCCAUGAUGGUCCUGUCGCAGGUCUGUAUAUCCGUGCUCAUUCUAACUUGCCUGGUCCAUUGACUAAACUUAAUGCGACUGCAGAUGUUUUAACUCGAUCUAAACGUGAUCUUUAUCCUGUACAUUUUCCUCCCAAGAAUAGAGUUGAAGUUACUCCUCCUCCUCAAUCUCUUUUCCGUAAAGCAGGACAUGUCCCAAUUUACCGUACUCCUCCUUUCCGUUCGUCAUGCUGUCAAGAAUGGCUAAUAUACUGCAUUCAUUAUCUCCAUACUCUUGAUACUCAUGGUCCAUGUCCUGGACACCCUCAUAUUAUGGUAAGUUAUGAUCAAACUGCUUCACAAGCAGCACAGCAGUUGCACGCUUUACACCGUCAGUCAGCGGCUACAUUACACACACAAUUUUCCCUUACUGGUGAAGCCGCCCCACAAAUUGUUAAGCAAUGCCCACAAUGCUUACCUCACCUUCCUGUUCCACAUUAUGUUGUUAAUCCUCGUGGAUUAUUACCUAGACAUUUAUGGCAAAUGGAUGUUACUCAUAUCCCGUCUUUUGGGAAAUUACAGUUUGUUCAUGUCACUAUCGAUACUUAUUCUGGUUUCCUCUGUGCUACAGCACAGACCGGAGAAGCUACUAAACAUGUUAUCACUCAUUUAUUACACUGUUUUGCUUUCAUGAACCUUCCCAAAAUUAUUAAAACAGAUAAUGGGCCCGCUGCUUUUGCAACAUUUUGUAAUUCAUUACAAAAUUACCCAUAUUACAGGCAUUCCAUAUAACCCUCAAGGACAAGGUAUUAUAGAACGUGCAAAUAGAUCUUUAAAGCUAACUAUUGAAAAAAUAAAAAUGGGGGAAUUGUAUAGAACAACGCCACAUAACCUUAUAAAUGAUGCUCUGUUUAUUUUAAAUGUUCUCACUGUUGACAAAUUUGGCUGCUCUGCAGGGGGAAGGUUGGUGGCUGAGCCAAGAUUGGCCUCUCAAUCUCCGGAGGUCCUCUGGAGAGAUCCGUUAACCAGCACUUGGAGUGGUCCUGAUCCUGUGUUGAUUUGGGGACGUGGUCACGUGUGUAUCUUUCCCAGAUCAGCGCCUGGACCUUGCUGGCUUCCUGAGCGCUUAGUCAAGCAAAUAGAUGGCUUGCCACAGCUCACCUAGUUCAGAAGAUGAAGAAGCUCUGCAUCUCUCCCGAAAAUUUGACAGUGUUGAUUCAGAAAAAGAAGAAGAGGAGACCACUUGCCAGGACGACUCAAAGGAGUGAUGUUCCAACUUGGGGACAAAUUAAACAACUGGUUUCAUGAGCUCAAGAGUCAGUGAAACAACAGAAUAAUCCUGUUACACCUGUAACUUUUUUUUUGGUUAUGUUGGCAACCAUUUCAUGUGUUCCCUCUGUUAAUGCAGCAACUUACUGGGCCUAUGUACCUGAUCCUCCACUAUUACAACCUAUAUCUUGGUCUGAAGCAGAGUUUCCUGUAUUUUACAAUGAUAACUGUUUAUGGGCCUCUUAUUGGGAAUAUAAAACAAAUCAAUAUGUCUGUAAAUUAUACUAACUGGCUUAGUACACAUCCUGUCUGUCUUAGCCCACUGAAUCUGGAAACUGGACAUGUAAAGGCUAUUAGUUAUGAGCAUACAGAUGUUUAUGAGGGAACGGAUCAAUCAAUUAGUUUGUCAGGCUCUCCAGGCAUCCUUCGUUUUACAGGAACCAACAUUACUCUUACAUGCCACGCUACCAGCCGACGAGAGGAUCUUAAGGAUACCAUCAUUUGGUAUAAAAUGGGCAAGCUAUUAAUAUUAGAGGUCAAAUCUCAUACGCCUCACCACUUAGGGAUUCCGCUAUUACUAUAGCCAAGGUUACAGGUGAAGAUUCAGGAAAUUAUUUCUGUAUGAAGCGUUUACUUGGAGGACAAGGGAUACUUAUAGCUGGACAUAAGGUUACUAUGCUUAACAGAAAAUCAAAAAAUCAAUUUCCUCCCUUUAUGACCGUUAACUUUCCUGGAUCCACUUUUGAACGUUGCAAUGCAUCUUGGAAUAAUAACCAAAUAUGGUGUACUAUAGAUUAUACCAAGGUGUCAAUUCUUAUCUCUUCUUUUCCCAUCAUAGAUAGGUUUAUCACAUUUCAAAAGAACUGGGAUAUAUGGAAACUAGCUCUAACUUAUUCCAAUACACCUGUUAUAACUUGUGUUGCUCCUCCGUAUACACUUUUGUUUGGUUCUAUUAACAUUGGUAAUUCUUCCAAAGGAGGAUAUAAUAUUAGCUGUGUUAAUUGUAUUUUUAGCAGUUGUAUGUUCCCUUCUGCAGGAACGCAAUCUGUGCUUAUACUAAAGCAACCCAUGUAUGUUAUGGUGCCUGUACAUCUGAGAGAACCUUGGUAUGAAGAUACUGGAGUACAGGCAUGGGUGGAACUCUCUAAAGCCUUGCAGAGAGGAGACACUUUCUUGGGUGGCUAAUAGUAAGUUUACUUGCCUUGGCUGCUCUGUCUGCUACCGUGGCUACUGCCGGUCUUGCUCUUUCACAGAGUAUUCAUCAUGCUCACUUUGCUAAUCAGUUAUCUCAACAUAGCAGUCUUGCUUUAUCUUUACAAAGUCACAUAUAUUUACAGAUUAAUAACAAGUUAGAUGAAUUUAAAAACGCAAUUUUGGGGAUUGGAGAUCAGAUGGCAGCAUUAAAAUUGAGGAUGCGUCUAGCUUGUCAUGCAAAGUAUACAUGGAUGUGUGUUACUCCUUAAAAGUACAGUGACUGUAUUUGGGAAUGGGAAAAAGUAAAAAUGCAUCUGCUGAGUGUUUGGUCAGAUAAUAAUAUUAGUCUUGAUCUUAAGAAAUUAAAUGCUGAAAUUCAGGAUAUACAAAAUACACAUCUUGAUGAUGUUUCGCCAGAAGAUGUAAUUCAAACUUUACUGGACCAUUUAAAGUGGUUAAAUCCUCAGUCUUGGAUUACCGGAAGGUUGUCAGGAUUUAUUACCCUGGCCAUAAUUUACCUAUUAUUGAUAUUAAUCUUCUCAUGUCUGUUUCGUAUCCUCAUGCAACAGUAUACUACUCUCGGCACUAAACUUCAUGGAAUUAUUUUGCAGCAAAAGUUAAAAAAUAAAAAAGGGGGACCUGUGGGAAGCAGUCAGCCUUGAGAGCAGGUAAGGACAUGCCAGGCAUGCAGCCGCUGCUCGAAGGGACUGUCCCUACUUGUUCCCCUCCUUGUUCCAUUCCAUGGGAGAUAAAUCACCAGGGCCCAGAGAUCAGAAAGAAUGUAAAAUGAGACAAGCAAAGCUGUCUUCCCCCUGCACAUGCAGGUUAUUUUUGAUGCUUCUUGGUUUAUGGGUUUCCUCCCAGGGAAGUUAACCUUGAGCCGAGACAGUCUGUAGAUAAUGUAAACCACCAUCUGGCAACCUUCCUUUUUCUAGUCUAUAUAAUCUGCAACUGUAGCGCAAUAAAAUUUGCCUUGCAACCA